CAACCCUGAAUUCAAACAAAACAAGAACUGGUCCUCGGUGGGCGUCUGCAUCGCUGUCAUGUCGAGCUGAACACAUCCUAUUUGAAGAAGAUGACAACUAAGAGGCUCAAGAUGAUGGAGCUGACACAUCCAGAGAGUGCAGGCUGUGAUGUUCCCAUACUGCAGCUUGAAUUUUUGCCACACUAUCAGUGUACGGCUGCCUUUUGAGCAUAAUGGAAGUGUGACUUCACACACACAGUUGCGUCUCUUGUCCAUGCAGGAGGGACAAAGGGGCACAUGUUCAUAAUUCAAUAGUUGAAAUGAUGGCGAUCUUCAACCUGUUGGUGCAUCAGUGGGCACAGGUGA